rnacentral:rRNA from 1 species
UACGUAGGGUGCGAGCGUUGUCCGGAAUUAUUGGGCGUAAAGGGCUCGUAGGCGGUUUGUCGCGUCGGGAGUGAAAUCCACUGGCUUAACUGGUGGCUUGCUUUCGAUACGGGCAGACUGGAGGUAUGCAGGGGAGAACGGAAUUCCUGGUGUAGCGGUGAAAUGCGCAGAUAUCAGAAGGAACACCGGUGGCGAAGGCGGCAUCCUGGACCGGUAUUGACGCUGAGGCGCGAAAGCCAGGGGAGCAAACGGG